ensembl:lncRNA
UGGAAUGAAUGCUGUGUAUAAACCUUUGAUAAAUAGUGCCAGUGAUGGUCAUUUUUGUUUUUCCUUAUAUAUAUUUUUCUCAUAUAAAGAAAGGAAAAAAGAAGAACACGAUCUUUGUGCAUUUCUAAAGGAUGUAUUCUUGUUGGAAACUUUCGAAAGUGUGUUAAGUUGAAGAAGAACUGAGUGCACCCAACCCUGGUCCUCCCUGUUCAUCUCGAGCGUGCCAGGGAAAAGACCCCAGGCAUGCGUGUGCCUCGAGUGACAACUCCUGGCCCUGACACUUGAGGACAUUCCUGUGUGUGAAGAAAUGUUCAGCUCCCGGACUCUGCAGCAGCCACUUCCUGCAACCCUCUGACAUGAAAUUCUCAUUGUGUUACUCUUUCAGUUGUGGAAUAUUGUGGUCUGCUGGUACUGCUUAUUAGUUGGUGGUGAAUGUCCUUAACCUUUAUUUCACUACUUCUUAAUACAAAGGUCUAAUUUUUUUGAUGCCUUAUAAUCUACAAACAAUGUAGAACAUGAUUUUAAAAUUUAGAAAUCCUUCAUAUGGUUACAAACAUGGGACUUCAUGGAAUUUGAAGAGUUCAUGUGUGUAGAAUAUAGCACCAUAUUCAGUUUUUAUAAAUGUAUUAAAUAUUACCAUGUGGCCUGUUAGUAUAAUAUUGCAAACAUAAGGAAUCUGGGCCAGGGCAACAAUUGGAUUGUACAGAAUGCAAAAGAAGAAUGUGAUAAGUUGAAUUAUUUGAACUACCAAAUACUCAGCAAUUUCUCAGGAGAAGAAGAUAAGACUGAAACCAAGUUAACAUGACUUCCGGUGGAAGAGCAAGAAUUGACAUAAAGAUUGUCUGAGACAGAAGUCUACAUCUCGAGAGACUAAGCUGGUCCUGCCUGCGACUUGGAAUGAAUUAGGAAAUGUACCUUCUCUGCAGAUGCAGAGCACAAAGGCUCCAGAAGCAAAAGGAAGCUCCAGAAAGAAAGGAAACUGCUCCCCUUUCUGCUGAUAGGAGACCCAGCACCAGGACUCGCAGCCUGGGUGUUGGAGGACUGGUCCUUGUAAGCCUGCUUGUCUCUUGCAUGCGUGUCCUUGUGCAGUGCACAAGCUGCCUCACUCCUCAGAGCCACCCUGUUCAAAUAACUCUGAAGAUUAAGGAUUGUCAACUGUGUGUAACUGGAGACCAGAUUAGUGAAGUCUGUGGCUAAGACGAGACACCUGUAAGCAACAAAGCUGAAAGAGGUAGAGCAUUCCCCCUGCAAGGCCAGUGUUCUUCCAGGAAGCCCACUCCCUUCAGGGUGGCUCACCAGAUACCAGAUGGGGCCACGCCUCUGCAUGGGAGGCAAAGGGGCCCUCACCGUGCGGACACAGACACAGUAACCAAGCCAGACUUCUGCCUUCACGUUUCGAUUUUGCUCAACAAUCAAACUGAGUAAUAACUGUGUGCUCUGCAAUAUUUUCACAAACUGUCUGUGGUAAAACUUCUCAAGGCAGUGCAGCAUACCCAGCAGGCUGUAGUUGUCUUGUUUUAAAGUUAACAGAUAAAAUCGUACAUGUGUAUUGUGUGUUACACAACAUUUUCGAGUGUAUAUACAUUGUGGAAUGAAUAGAUAUAACAUACACCUUACCUCUCAUAAUUAUCCUUUAUUUUUGUGGAGAAUACUCUUGUUAUCCAUUCUCUUAGAAUUUUUCAAGAAUCCAGUUUAUUGUCAUUUUCUGUAGCCAACACCUUGCAUAGUAAAUCUCUUAAAUGUAUUCCUCCUAUAUGAAAUUUUGUAUCUUUUUACAACACCUUGCCAACUUCCUCAUUACACCCUGGAAAUCAUUGUUCUACUGUGUAAUUCUAUGAGAUCGAUUCCUUUAGAUUCCACACAUGAUUGAGAUUAUGCAAUAUUUGCAUGCUGUCCUUAGCUUAUUUCACUUAACAUAAUGUCCUCUGGGUUUGUGUGUCUUAUCACAAAUGACUGGACUUCUACUUGAUGGCUAAAUAGUAUUCCAUUGUGUAUGUACCACAUUUUCCUUACUCAAUAAUCUACUGAUGGACAUGUAGGUUGAUACCAUGUCUGUUAUUGGCAAUAAUGCUGUAGUAAACAUUGAAGUACAGCUGUCUCUUUGACAUGCCAGUUUUAUUUCUCUUGGCUAUGUACCCAGUAGUGGAAUUUGCUGGAUCACACGGUAAUCCUAUUUUGAUUUCUUUGAGGAACCUGUGUUCCAUCAGGACUGAAGUAAUUUAUAUUCCCACCCACAGAGUGUGAGAAUUCCCUUUUCUCCAUAUCCUUACCUGCAUUUGUUACAUUUUGCCUUUGUAGAAUAGCUGUUAGAACACAUGUGAGGUGGCAGCUCCUAUGGUUUUGAUUUGAAUUUACCUGAUGACCAGGAAUGUUGCAUGUUGUUUUCAUGUACCUGGUCAUUGCGUGUCUUCUUUUCUGAGACUUUGUAUUUAGGUCCUUUGCCUAUUUUUCAAUUGGAUCAGUUACUUUCUUGCUAUAGAGUUGUUUGUGUUCCUUACAUAUCCUGAAUAUUAGCCCCUUUUCAGAUAUCUAGACUGUAGUAGUCUAUUUUCUCUAUUUGGCUUUCAAUCUAUUUCUCAUUUUAUGUAUAAUAUUAAUGUUUUAGGGUAUAUUAUCAAGUAUUUAUUUGUUGAAUUAUUUCUUAAUUUAAUUAUGUGGGGUUUUGACAUAUUAUUUUAACAUACAUGUGAUUAUUCAAAAGUGAUAAUGAUUGUGUAUAUAGCAUUAUUAUUCUCAAAUUGUUUAUGAGGAAACAUUCAGACAAGUUGAACAAUCUGCCUAAGUUCCAAAGAGCAAGGCUUUGAUGUAUAUCUUUCUGGCCCUAAAACACAUUCAUUUCCCUAUGUUGAAAUAUUGCCAGACCCAGAAAGUCGUGUGCUGAGAGGAUAUUAACAUGAUGCAUGUGAGAAAGUCACAAAGUUAAAGCCUAAUGAAGAAAGGCCACAUCUGGGAAGUAUAAGAACAAUUUUAGUGAGAACUGAAGAACAUACAUCUCUAGAACAAAGGGCAGUGAUGAGUUGACAAUUACUCUGAGAUUUCCUGUGUUGCUGGCUGCUGAUACAGUGGCAUUACCCAGUGCGACAAAGAAAGCAGGCACAGAGUUCUGUCACUGCGAGAUGAUGAGUGAAUUAUCUUCUCCACAUUUCAUUCCUGCCAUGACAGCAUGUGCAGUUUGAAAUGCCUUUAGUAGGAAACUCUCGCCAAGUUGGGUAGAGAGGCAAAGUUUCCAGCUAGACAAGUAGGUUUGGACAGGUAUCUGUAUACAGAUGGAAGCAGAUGAUGUACCUGCUGCCUGGUGUUUGGCAAAAAGAGUAGAGCACCUAUUAAUUUCCAGAGGAAACUCCAUGGAAGCAGUGUAAGAGGCAAGAGGAAGAUCAGACAAGCCACAGGAGUUUCAUAAUGUAUAGGUUCCUGAGACACCUUGCAUGUCACAAUAUUUCCACAAAACAGGGCAUAUAAGAGGAUAGAUUUUGAAGAGACUAGUUAAAAUUUGCAUAGUUUCAUGAAAAUGUGAACAUUUGUCAUCAAUGCAUUAAGAAAAUCAAUGCUAAUAAAAACAUGAACACUUAAAAGAUAUAAUUAAAAGCUUAAAAGAUAUAAUUUUCUUAUACGUAAAAAGCUACAAAUGUGAAUACCUGAAGGGUACCCAAUUGAAAUAGGUGAAGGUAGAUACAUGGAAAGAUUUCUACAAAAGUUCAUGAUGCUUACUUACUCUGUGCCAGCCCACACCAAAGCUGCUGGAUAAACAAUAGUGCUCAGGUCCCGGGCACACAUUGUGAGAGGCUUGAGAGAUCAGUGGAGUAGACAGAUCAACACGAAAUUAUAAUAUGGUCUGUGUGUGCUCAGUUCUUGAAAAAGUAGGUGCAAGAUGUGCUGGCAUCACUUGAAAGGAACAGGGAUCUGGCCUUGUGGAAAAGUUAGGCUGGUCAAAGACUGCUUUUGAAAAAAGGUGAAGGGGAGCUUCGAAACGGAAGGCAGAGAAUUCUAGACAGGCAGCAGCCUGGACCAAACCGAGAAUGGAAAGAACACUGAAAUGUUACAAAUGUUGAUCUGAACUGGUAUUCCUGAAUUUAAAUUCUCCCACCUGAUAAUUCAAACUUUCAGCCUUCCUUGGUCUGUAUCUUUAUACAUUUUUAUUUGUGGUGCCGGGGUUGAAUUCAGGACCUCUUGCAUGUUGGUAGGUGCUCUACGCUGAGUGAUAUUCCAAACCAUUCCUGUCCCUUUCUAGGUCCUCAAAGCCCUCUUGGCAGGGAGACAGAAAAAGAUGUCACAGGAAAGGCCUAUUUGUUAACCGCUGUGAGCUGGGCGUGACCUGUACCAUUCCUGCCCUCAUCUUGCUGGUCUUUUGUUCCAGGAACACUCCCCAUGGCCAGAGAUACGGGGAAGGUUACAUAGUCUAGCCAUGAACAACUGAAAAUUAAAUAGAUCUUAAUAAACAUACAGCUUUCUCAGUUACACAUACGUAGGGUGAAGUAGAAUUAAACAUGAUCAGCUUCUAGAGUCAAAAUAGGGCCAGUUCAUAAAGGACAUUUUAUUUCACGGUUAGACUCUUUCCCGAGGGAAGGGAUGAUCUAGCUACAAGGAAACAGACAGGAUGCAGGGCUGAGCACGAUGCCUGAGCAUCUGCUGGAAGACUCCCGACUGGAUACUUUAACUGCUAUCAAACUCAUUAUUUUAUGGAAGAAAAAAACUCAGAAAGGAAAUAGGCUGUUCCAUGCUUUGUAUGUCAACCAGUUUCCUCCAGGACUUUUUGAGGCAAACUGCAAAGAUGAUUAGAAAGACAGAAUCUUUUUUUUCCCUCUCUCUUUUAAAAGGAGCUGUGGCAUUUUCAGUCCACAUAAAAAGUCGGUUUUUCAGUCACAGAAUAGUCACUGUUGUCUUGCUGCUCUUGCAAAAAUGGCGCCAUCCGGGCUGGAUAGCACAAUGCCGAUGUUUUGCUGGGUGAUCACUGUGAUUAGGUGUGUACCCCUCACGCCCAUUCCCACAUCUUGCUUUCUGAGGAAAGGAACUAACUCACCACUCCUCCCCACCCCACUGAUGAUAUUAAUAUUUGGUGGUAGCUUUAUUCGAGGAAGGCUUCUUUGGAAGAAGAGCCGGCUGCAUCAUCUCUGCAAGAUGGACAGCACACGAGUUGACUACUCGCAAAGAGAACGGUGUCACUUUAUCUCUGCUAUAUCUCGAGUACCUUGCAAGAGAUCUCAGAGCACAGAAUACCUCAGAGGUGAAGGGGGUCAGUAGAGGAAUUUAUGACCUUUCUAAUUUGACUAUCACCCUUGGGAGAUUUGUGUCGGGAACUCUGACUAAGAGUGCUCUGUGGCAGCAAGCAUUCUCCGAGGGGAACGUGCUUGACGGCAAUGCUUUAGGCUCCUUGUGUGGGUGCCUUGUAGAAGUGAAUGAGAACACCCUGCGAGCACGGCUCUCCGCUUCCUCACGUGUUUCAUCAUAUUAAACAAAUAUUUACUAUUGCCUGUCACGUGCAGGGACUCGUGCAGGCUGGGGAGAUACAUUUUGUUCCUGUUGUCGCAUGAAUUAGAGUCCGAUUGAUGGGGCAAAAUGUUGAAAUAACAUGAAAUGUUAAAGGAAAAUACUAAUUGCCACAUUUGAACGGCUGAUGGAGUGUCAGUGGUUGGCAAAUAGCCAUCUCUCAUCCCACUCGGGGUGUUCCAAAGGAUCAUGGGAGGAAACUUGGGCUCAGUAUGCAAAUGUUUCGAUUGAUUUUUGAUGUUUUCUCCCGGGCAGAGGAGAGCUUGGGUGAGGCUUCUUAGGGACAUUUAUUUAGCUUUAUUAAUUCAACAAAUACUGAGUGGCAAGCCUUAUAAUAGGGAUUUGUGAGCAAAGCACACACCACGAUUGCCUUUGAGGGCCUGCCAUCUUUGUGUACUUUAUUAUUAUUUUUUAAAGUUGACUCGAAAUUAAACUUGGUAAAUGAUGUUCUCAAAUCAAAUUCUCUCUCUCUCUCUCUCUCUCUCUCUCUCUCUCUCACACACACACACACACACACACACACACACACAUACACACACGGAAUGACAAAUACUAUGAAGACAUCCCAAGUGUAUUUGAGUGUGAAUAUUUGGAUGUUUCUGAAGUAGAAUAAGAGAAAUGGUUUGCUAAAGGGAAUGACUUGACUGAAGGUGAAAAAGAGAAAAAUGGGAACAGUAUGCAAGGACCAAGGGAUUGAAAGAGUAUUCAUGCAGAUAAAUCUGCAAAGACUCGACUGAACGUUAGUUACCUUUCAGACAUUAGAGGUUCUUGAAUUCUGAGCAUUUAUUGCUUUCUCCUGGGCUGUGGAGAAAUAUUGAAAUUAUUUGAGGACAGGAGUGAUGUGGACUAAGCCAGACUCUUUGUCUUAUCAAGUCCUAUAAAGGGAGAUGGAGCAUCCUAAAUGUUGCACAUAAAUAUAAUUUACUGACUGCUUCUAAUGGUACCUUGUAUUUCAAAGCUUUUACGACAUGCAGCUACGUUUUGAUAAACUAAAUAUUGCCUGGGCAUACAUAAGUCUGUGUUAUAAUUGACUAUUAUAAAUAAGAUUCACUAUAGUGAAAUGCUGUUAUGACCGUUUGGCAUCUGUUAUUAUUUGGGAAUAAUUUUCAAAUGCACUAUUUUUAUCAAAACAAAUUUUUAAAUGCUUCUUGAAAUACUUGGAUUAUGCAAAGGCACCUCAGGAAAAAUACUUGUAAUAUUCAACUGGAAGUUGAUAGAAACUGACUUUAAAUAUACCUAGAAUCCCUAAUAUAGAAUACUUUUAUUUUCAUAAUAGCUGUAUUCUUGAUCAGUCUAUAAUAACUUGCAAUUGAUAUUAAAAAAUAUAUGUG